UACGUAGGGUGCAAGCGUUGUCCGGAAUUAUUGGGCGUAAAGAGCUCGUAGGCGGUCUGUCGCGUCGGCUGUGAAAACCCGGGGCUCAACCCCGGGCCUGCAGUCGAUACGGGCAAGCUAGAGUUCGGUAGGGGAGACUGGAAUUCCUGGUGUAGCGGUGAAAUGCGCAGAUAUCAGGAGGAACACCGGUGGCGAAGGCGGGUCUCUGGGCCGAAACUGACGCUGAGGAGCGAAAGCGUGGGGAGCAAACAGG
rnacentral:rRNA from 1 species